CCAUUGUACCAAAUAUGGCACUCAUAUAUGGAGUUAUUACAGCACCAGAUUUUAGUGUUAUUAAAACACUCAUUUUGGAGUUGUAACAGCAUGAAAAUGUGCUGUACUUGCACUUUCUUGGAGUUACUGCAACUCCAAACUGUGUGUAACUUUUACAACUACACCUACAAUGGUGUUAUUAAAGCACUGGGGAUGGGUGCUGCUGUUACUACAGGAUGAAUUCAAGGGCAACAGAAGAAUCUGUUCUCAAGUAUCAAGUAUUUGUAACUGUUUAUGCAUUACAUACGUGGAGCAGCAGCUUGACAAAUAUCAUUUGUACUGCAUCCUUCUUCUUACAGUAUUAUCUUCAGAACUGAAUAAAAAAAAAUGUAUGUUUGAAGAUAUGGGUUUGUAUUUACCAUUAGAUUGUGACUGCACCAGUGACUGCAUAGUCUUCAACCAGCUCCUGUAGCUUAACAUUGUUCUCCUUUGUUCGAAUUCUUUCCAAUUUUCCUCAAAAGUAAAUCUAUAGGUAUCUUUUCCUGUAAUUUCAAAAAAUUCUAUUACUACUGCAAACAUUUACAGCUAUAUGCUUGAACACAAUAA